CCUGAAUGGAUUGAAGGUAGCCACCUCAUUACGGUCCAAAAACUGCAGCAUCGGGAUCUGCACACAGUAUAGAGUGUAGUAUCAGCACAACUGACCCCAUAUGCUGGUAAGUGCCUAGCCUAAUCUCAAUGAAGUAGUGACAAGGCUAGGACCAGACUACCAAAUAAACUUGUGCAGUUAAAUCAUAUACAUCGGAAAAUAAAGGCAAAAUGUACAGUUAUGGAUAGGAGGGGGAAACAUGCUGCGGGGAACAUAAAAUAAUAACAGAAGAACAUCAGAUAAAUAUAAGGAACGCCAAAUUUCAAUUAUCAACAAGAAUCGGAAAUAAAAGACAAGUGCACGACAUCACCCUUCGUGCUUUUACUCUCGUCCUCACCAUAAAAAUCAAUAAAAUUGCACGGCAUCAUCCUUUGUGCUUUUACCUCACAUAAUCAUGGCACGAAAUGAUCCUUCGUGCAUUAUCACUCAUAUCAUGGCACAAAAUUGUACAUCGUGCAGUACGGCAUCACCCUUCAUGCUUUUACCUCACAAUAUCGGCACGACAUCACCCUUCGUGCAUUAAUACUCUCAAAAUCAUACACGGUAUCACCCUUCUUGCUUUACACACUUCCUCACCCAAGAAACAAUCACAAAGCAAUUUGGGCAAGUGAAUUAAUAAUAUUUCAAUAAAAUCCCGGCUAGGGAACAAUAGCAUAACAACAUCCCGGAAAGGGAAACAAUAUCAUGAAUGAUAGCGUCCCGGCAAGGGAGAUAAUAUUAUAAACCUCUUCUCUUUUCCACAAUUUCCUCACAACUCAUUUCUCAACUUGAGCCAACGCUCUACAAUGAUCAAUUACCAACAAUACUUUCACAAGUCUUGUUCAACAAUAGAAAGCAUCAUAUAAAGCAUGAACAAUACGAAACAGAACCACAUUAAUCAUAUUAUAAGACUCACGGGCAUGCUUGACACCAACGUAUAGAUACUCGUCACCAUGCCUAUAUGUAGUACUCAACAAUUAACACAUAGCAAAUAAGACAUGACUCCUAAUCCCUCAAGCUAAAGUUAGACCAAACACUUACCUCGAUGCCAUGAAUACAAUUACUCAAGCCUCAACUACCGCUUUACCUCUUGUUUCCACCACUAAUUCGCUUGUAUCUAGCCAUAAUUUACUUAAUGAUAUCAAUAAAUGCUAAAUGAAUCAAUUAUAAUGCAUGAAAAUAGGUUUUAUAAAGAUUUUUCCAAAAAUUAAAAAAUCUACCCCGGGCCCACAUGGUCAAAACCCGAGGUUUGAACCAAAAACUGAUUACCCAUUCACCUAAAUAUAUAAUUUAUUUUGAAAUCGGACCUCAAAUUGAGGUCCAAAUCCCCAAAAUUUGAAAAACCUAAGUUCUACCCAAAACACCUAAUUUCCCCAAUGAAAACCCUUGAUUUUGGAUUGAAAUCAUGUGAAAAGAUGUUAUAGAUUAAAGAAAAUGAGUUAGAAAUGACUUACAAUUGGUUUGGAGAUGUACUUUUCUUUAGAAAAUCGCCCAAAAGUGUUUAGGUUUUGAAAAAGUUUGAAAAAUGCAGCAAAAUGUGUCUAAGUCCCAAUUAACUGGUCUCUGAUGUCGCAUUUGCAACCAGGGUUUGCAACUACAAACCCUUAAGAAACCUGCUAUCUUCACAAAUGCGAAGAAAUUGUCGCAUUUGCGACCACUCAAAAAUCCUGAAGGCUUCACAUUUGCGAGACAUCUAUCGCAUUUGCGACUCAGGCCCUUCCGCAUUUGUGAUAAAAUGGUCACAUUUGCGAUCAAGGCCUGCCCAGACCAUCUUCGUAAAUGCGAUACUACUUUGCAAAUGCAAGCUCACAUUUACGAGUCAGUGCGAAGCCUUCAGACCUGCAACACACCAGCAAUUUUCCUAAGUCUAAAUUCACUCUGUGGCCUAUCCAAAACUUAUCUGAGCCCUCGGGGCUCCAAACCAAACAUGCACCCUAACCUAAAAAUAUUAUACGGACUUACUCGCGCAAUCAAAUCAUCAAAAUAACAUCAACAGCUAUGAGUUAAACCCAAAAUUGAUAAAAUCAUUCAAUAACACCAAAAUUUCCAAUUUCUCAAGUUUAGGUCCAUUUUAUACCAAACCAAUUCCGAUCUUUACCAAAUUUUAUAGAUUGAACCUAAUUAUUAUUUCAAACUUGUACCGGGCUUUGGAACCGCAAUAUGGGCCCGAUACCAUCAAGUUCAAAUAUCUUUCAUUUCGAAAAACUCUUAUAUGUUACAGAAAAUAAUUAUCUUUAACAAUUCAUUUCUUGGGCUUGGGAUCUCGGAAGUCGAUUUCGGGCAUAUGCCCAAGUCCCAAAUUUUACUACGGACUCUACGAGACCAUCGGAUCAUGGGUCCGGGUCUGUUUUCUAAGAAUGUUGAGCAAAGUCAACUUUAUUCAAUUUUAAAAGUAAAUUUCCUUAUUUCACUUAGUUGUCACACAAAAACUUUCUGGAAAUGCGCCCGGAUUGCGCACGCAAAUCGGGUGAGACAAAAAGAUGUUUUUAAUGCCUCGGAUCACAUAAUUUACUUUGAAAACGAGUGAUGACCUUUCGGUUAUCACAUGUUUAUAGAAUUCAUUAUCUACCUAGUUUCAGAUUCGAUGUUAUAGACGGAGAUUGAGGCAUGAAUGUCGGAAGUGAUAUACAUUUGUAUCAAAUAAGCCCAAAAAUGUUUCAACUAGGUGAUCCUUUUUGUAAGGUUUAACAAUUAUAUCACUUGCAAGAUAAAAAAAGCCCAAAAUAGAAUUCGAACUAAGACAAAAAAAAGCCCGUUGAUUUCUUUUCACAACACACUAAGUUUUAGCUUUCAAGAAUUCCAAUAGGGACACAAGCCUUCAAAAAAAUGAGCCCAACAAUAGUAUUUCAUCUAUGGUGCAACACUGACACUAAUGUGGUAUGCAACAAAAUAUAAAGUGUGAAAUUAAUCAUGAAUCGUACAGAUUAUUGGACUUAAUUCGAUUUGCAAAAUAAUUAAUCAUGAAUCAUGUAAGUUAUCAACUCAACUUGAUUUACAAGAUAAUUAACAAUGAAUCAUAUAAAUUAUCGAACUCAACUUUAAUUACAAGAUUUUCUAGCAAAUUCUAGAUUAAGGCUACGACCAUACUAGAUUUCAAAAUAGAUACAUGAUCUGGGCUCCUGUGGCUUUCCAAUCCCUCAACAAGUCUUGAGUUUACAAAGGCACCUACAAAACUGCUUUUCAAAUCAGCAUCUUGUCCAUCACAUGUCAAAACAAUUGAAGCAACAAGUGAGGAUCCAAAUGAUUUCGAAACUUUCUUUCUUUUAUUUUAGGAUUUCAUAUGUAAAAGGGGAAUUGAGAGACUUUAUAACAAAUAACAUCUAUCUGUAUGAUGCUUCAAUAAUUAGAGACUUGCAAAUAGCACAAGUAUGGCAAUUAAGCAUUAUAAAUUCAUGAAAAAGCUAAACUUAAAUAUGACAUGAACAUAUCAAGUUUUACCCAUAAUAGCAAAUGGAGAAUGGUAAGUGGAUAUUUAUAUACCUAGCAGCAAAGAAACAGAAAGAAAUGGCCAAAUAUGAUCAAAUUUCGAAAGCAAAACCAGCUUGAUUGAAUAGGAGUAAUCAGUAGCAGUAAUCAACAAAGAAACGAGCUCAACUUCAGCAGCUUCUAAAAUCCAGAAAAUGUUUCCUAACACCCUCCUUAUGAUCUCUUUCCUUGUUUUUUCUACUCUCUUUUUGUGUUUUUGUUUUUCUUGAAAUUUAAAUUCCUAGACCUAUGAGUGAAUAAGAAUAAGAAUGGAUUUUUCAGAAUCAGUUCUCUAUUAUAAAAAUGCAGAUUAUGUAGAUAAGAGAAUGACUAAGACAGACGAGUGUGAGUGUAUGUGUGUGUGUGUGUGUCUAUAUAUAUAUAUAUAUAUAUAUUGAAUGAAUGAGAGCCCGUGAGAAAGGGAAUCUAGCAGUGUGAAAUCAGGGGGAAUGAGAGAGGGGAGGAGAAUAUUUGUAACUGAAAAUGCCAGUUGCCUUUCUAUCGUUAAUUCUUUUCCCUUAUUCUCCUUUUCUUUUAUUUAAUUCUUUCCAAACCCGAGCCCUUCUUUCUUUUGCAAAAAUGGACCUUUCUAUUCCUUUCAUAAACCAAAUUGGGCCUGGGUUGGGUGCCCAUGGUCAAAUGGCCCAUAACAAACCAGCCCAAACGAAAUGAAAGAAAUCGGAAGAUCAAACAGAUAAAAGACAAAAAGCAAGCAGUUAUAUUUUCACAUUUCAAAUUAAAGUGAUUUUGAUAAUGCAACUAACCUAAUCAAACAAAAUAAACAUUUUAAUAAUUAAUCACAAUUUAGAAAUUUUAUAGAAAAGGGAGAAGGUGAAAUAAAGAAAACGAGGAAGGAAUUACCUAAAUAGGCCUCUAUUUGGAAUCCAUCGGUCAUACUGGGAAUUGAACUUAUUAUCAAUUGACUGCUCUUAUAAAGACCAAUCAACUGAUGUUGAUUUUGAAUUCACAAGGCUAAGCUUAGAGAAAAAGUCAAUGAUAGGAGCUAAAUAGGUUCUGAUGAAUCUAAGAUCUAAAAAUCGAGGAAUUGUAGUUUUUUUAGGGAAAUCUGUAAGUGGAUUAGUGGUGAGGGGAGGUUGAAUAUUGUAUGGUGAGAGUUUGGGUGUGUUUGAGGGUUGUGUCGUUGACAGGGGUGGCUUAGGAAAGGAAAGUUACUAGGGUUAGAUAUUUUGAGAGAGAUGAGUGAAAUGGAAGGGUGUUUUGGGUUUUGGGGAUGGCUUUGGAUAAUUAUAGCGAUGAGGAUGGGGAGUUCCUGGCCGUAGGACCAUAUUAAAUGAACGACCAUGAUUAAUCUUUACUAAAACAACAUCGUUUGGGGCAUUAAAAGGCAGGAGCGGAUUGGAUUUGUGGAGAUUAG
rnacentral:lncRNA from 1 species